rnacentral:piRNA from 1 species
UGGGGGAUGCAUACACGGGUAAUUAGAAC